GACGAACGCUGGCGGCGUGCUUAACACAUGCAAGUCGAACGAUGAAGCUGGAGCUUGCUCUAGCGGAUUAGUGGCGAACGGGUGAGUAACACGUGAGCAAUCUGCCCUUGACUCUGGGAUAACUGCGGGAAACUGUAGCUAAUACCGGAUACUUUCACCGGGGGGCAUCCUCUGGUGAUGAAAGAAUUUCGGUCAAGGAUGAGCUCGCGGCCUAUCAGCUUGUUGGUGAGGUAACGGCUCACCAAGGCGACGACGGGUAGCCGGCCUGAGAGGGUGAUCGGCCACACUGGGACUGAGACACGGCCCAGACUCCUACGGGAGGCAGCAGUGGGGAAUAUUGCACAAUGGGCGCAAGCCUGAUGCAGCAACGCCGCGUGAGGGACGACGGCCUUCGGGUUGUAAACCUCUUUUAGUAGGGAAGAAGCGAAAGUGACGGUACCUGCAGAAAAAGCACCGGCUAACUACGUGCCAGCAGCCGCUGUAA
rnacentral:rRNA from 1 species